rnacentral:hammerhead_ribozyme from 1 species
AUCCAGCUGACGAGUCCCAAGUAGGACGAAACGCGCGUCCUCGAU